rnacentral:rRNA from 1 species
AGUGAACGCUGGCGGUAGGCCUAACACAUGCCAGUCGAACGGCAGCACAGUAAGAGCUUGCUCUUACGGGUGGCGAGUGGCGGGCGGGUGAGGAAUACAUCGGAAUCUACUUUUUCGUGGGGGAUAACGUAGGGAAACUUACGCUAAUACCGCAUACGACCUACGGGUGAAAGCAGGGGAUCUUCGGACCUUGCGCGAUUGAAUGAGCCGAUGUCGGAUUAGCUAGUUGGCGGGGUAAAGGCCCACCAAGGCGACGAUCCGUAGCUGGUCUGAGAGGAUGAUCAGCCACACUGGAACUGAGACACGGUCCAGACUCCUACGGGAGGCAGCAGUGGGGAAUAUUGGACAAUGGGCGCAAGCCUGAUCCAGCCAUACCGCGUGGGUGAAGAGGGCCUUCGGGUUGUAAAGCCCUUUUGUUGGGAAAGAAAAGCAGCAGGUUAAUACCCCGCUGUUCUGACGGUACCCAAAGAAUAAGCACCGGCUAACUUCGUG